rnacentral:rRNA from 1 species
AUUGAACGCUGGCGGCAGGCUUAACACAUGCAAGUCGAGCGGGGGAAGGUAGCUUGCUACCGGACCUAGCGGCGGACGGGUGAGUAAUGCUUAGGAAUCUGCCUAUUAGUGGGGGACAACAUCUCGAAAGGGAUGCUAAUACCGCAUACGUCCUACGGGAGAAAGCAGGGGAUCUUCGGACCUUGCGCUAAUAGAUGAGCCUAAGUCGGAUUAGCUAGUUGGUGGGGUAAAGGCCUACCAAGGCGACGAUCUGUAGCGGGUCUGAGAGGAUGAUCCGCCACACUGGGACUGAGACACGGCCCAGACUCCUACGGGAGGCAGCAGUGGGGAAUAUUGGACAAUGGGGGGAACCCUGAUCCAGCCAUGCCGCGUGCGUGAAGAAGGCCUUAUGGUUGUAAAGCACUUUAAGCGAGGAGGAGGCUACUUUAGUUAAUACCUAGAGAUAGUGGACGUUACUCGCAGAAUAAGCACCGGCUAACUCUGUGCCAGCAGCCGCCUAA